GCCAGGCACGAUAGCUCACGCCUGUAAUCCCAGCAGCUCGGGAGGCUGAGGCAGGAGGAUCAUGAGUUCAAAACCAAGCUCAGCAAAGGUGAGGUGCUAAGCAACUCAGUGGGACCCUGUCUCUA
rnacentral:sRNA from 1 species